rnacentral:rRNA from 1 species
AUUGAACGCUAGCGGGAUGCUUUACACAUGCAAGUCGAACGAGUGGCGGACGGGUGAGUAAUAUAUCGGAACGUGCCCAGUAGCGGGGGAUAACUACUAGAAAGAGUGGCUACUACCGAAUACUAUUGGAGCGGCCGAUAUCGGAUUAGCUAGUUGGUGGGGUAAAUGCUCACACAGGCAACGAUCCGUAGCGGGUUUGAGAGGACGACCAGCUAACCUUGGGCUGGGACACUGCCCAGACUCCUACGGGAGGCAGCAGUGGGGAAUUUUGGACAAUGGGGGAAACCUUGGUCCAGCCAUCCCGCGUGUAUGAGAAGGCCUUCGGGUUGUAAAGUACUUUUGGCAGAGAAGCGGUAUCUGCAGAAUAAGCACCGGCUAACUACGUGCCAGCAGCCGCGGUAAUAC